rnacentral:rRNA from 1 species
UACGUAGGGUGCGAGCGUUGUCCGGAAUUAUUGGGCGUAAAGGGCUCGUAGGCGGUUUGUCGCGUCGGGAGUGAAAACCAGGUGCUUAACACCUGGCUUGCUUUCGAUACGGGCAGACUAGAGGUAUGCAGGGGAGAACGGAAUUCCUGGUGUAGCGGUGAAAUGCGCAGAUAUCAGGAGGAACACCGGUGGCGAAGGCGGUCUCUGGGCAUUACCUGACGCUGAGGAGCGAAAGCGUGGGGAGCGAACAGG